rnacentral:rRNA from 1 species
GAUGAACGCUGGCGGCGUGCCUAAUACAUGCAAGUCGAGCGAACAGACGAGGAGCUUGCUCCUCUGACGUUAGCGGCGGACGAGUGAGUAACACGUGGAUAACCUACCUAUAAGACUGGGAUAACUUCGGGAAACCGGAGCUAAUACCGGAUAAUAUAUUGAACCGCAUGGUUCAAUAGUGAAAGACGGUUUUGCUGUCACUUAUAGAUGGACCCGCGCCGCAUUAGCUAGUUGGUAAGGUAACGGCUGACCAAGGCAACGAUGCGUAGCCGACCUGAGAGGGUGAUCGGCCACACUGGAACUGAGACACGGUCCAGACUCCUACGGGAGGCAGCAGUAGGGAAUCUUCCGCAAUGGGCGAAAGCCUGACGGAGCAACGCCGCGUGAGUGAUGAAGGUCUUCGGAUCGUAAAACUCUGUUAUUAGGGAAGAACAAAUGUGUAAGUAACUGUGCACGUCUUGACGGUACCUAAUCAGAAAGCCACGGCUAACUACGUG